CAAUAGCGUAUAUUAAAGUUGUUGCAGUUAAAAAGCUCGUAGUUGGAUUUCUGGCCGAGUGUCCCCAGGCCAGCAUGACGUUUGGUCCUGGGCGCUCUGCCAUCCUUCUGUCAACCUUCGCCUCGUUCAUUCGUGGCUUUGGGGCUCAGAUAUUUUACCUUGAGAAAAUUAGAGUGUUUCAGGCAGGCUUUCGCCGGAAUACAUUAGCAUGGAAUAAUGGAAAAGGACUUCAACCUCUUCUGUUGGUCUGAGAGGCUGUAGUAAUGAUUAAUAGGGAUAGUUGGGGGCAUUAGUACUUAACUGUCAGGAGGUAGAAUUCUCCGUAUUUAGUUAAAGACUUAACUUAUGACGAAAG
rnacentral:rRNA from 1 species